UACAGAGGAUGCAAGCGUUAUCCGGAAUGAUUGGGCGUAAAGCGUCUGUAGGUGGCUUUUUAAGUCCGCCGUCAAAUCCCAGGGCUCAACCUCGAGACGUCGGUGGAAACCGUUUGGCUAGAGUCCGGAAGAGGAGAGUGGAAUUCCCGGUGUAGCGGUGAAAUGCGCAGAUAUCGGGAAGAACACCCGUGGCGAAGGCGGCUCUCUGGGACGGUACUGACGCUGAGACGCGAAAGCGUGGGGAGCGAACAGG
rnacentral:rRNA from 1 species